rnacentral:rRNA from 1 species
CAGUCGCCGCGGUAACACGUAGGGGGCAAGCGUUAUCCGGAAUUACUGGGUGUAAAGGGAGCGUAGACGGUUAAACAAGUCUGAAGUGAAAUGCCGGGGCUCAACCCCGGAGCUGCUUUGGGAACUGUAGAACUGGAGUGUCGGAGGGGUAAGCGGAAUUCCCAGUGUAGCGGUGAAAUGCGUAGAUAUUGGGAGGAACACCGGCGGCGAAGGCGGCUUACUGGACGACAACUGACGUUGAGGUUCGAAGGCGUGGGUAGCAAACAGGAUUAGAUACCCCGGUAGUCCCUGUCUCUUAUAC